CUCCAGACUCCUACGGGAGGCAGCAGUGAGGAAUAUUGGUCAAUGGGCGAGAGCCUGAACCAGCCAAGUCGCGUGAAGGAUGACGGCCCUACGGGUUGUAAACUUCUUUUGUCAGGGAGCAAUUGGGUCCACGCGUGGGCUUAGCGAGAGUACCUGAAGAAAAAGCAUCGGCUAACUCCGUGCCAGCAGCCGCGGUAAUACGGAGGAUGCGAGCGUUAUCCGGAUUUACUGGGUGUAAAGGGCGUGUAGGCGGGACUGCAAGUCAGAUGUGAAAACCACGGGCUCAACCUGUGGCCUGCAUUUGAAACUGUAGUUCUUGAGUACUGGAGAGGCAGACGGAAUUCCUAGUGUAGCGGUGAAAUGCGUAGAUAUUAGGAGGAUCACCAGUGGCGAAGGCGGUCUGCUGGACAGCAACUGACGCUGAGGCGCGAAAGCGUGGGGAGCAAACAGGAUUAGAUACCCCGGUA
rnacentral:rRNA from 1 species